CCUAAACAACGUAAGCCCUACCUCUCUUACGUCCCCACGGCUCCGAAGCCGAUCCGGCGUGAAUAGGAAAAGUAACAA
rnacentral:sRNA from 1 species